AACGAACGCUGGCGGCAUGCCUAACACAUGCAAGUCGAACGAGACCUCCGGGUCUGGUGGCGCACAGGUGCGUCACGUGUGGGACCGUGCCCUAAGGCUCGGGAUACUACUUCGUCAGGGGUGCUAAUAUCGGGUAAUUUCUUCGAACCCCAGAUUUGUCGUAUUUGUAUGGGCGCGCGUUGGUCUAGCUUGUGGGUAGGGGAAGAGCCUAUCACGGCGAGGAUCGAUAGCUGGUCUGAGAGAAAGCGCAGCCACACUUAGACUGUGACACGGCCGGGACUACUGCGGAAGGCGGCAGAGGGGAAUAUAGGACAAUGGGCGAAAGCCAGAUCCAGCAAGGCCGGGUGAGUGAUGAAGUCCUUAGAGUAGUAAAGCACGUUUACCCGGGAUGAUAAUGACGGUACCGAAAGAAUAAGCACCGGCUAACUCCGUG
rnacentral:rRNA from 1 species